rnacentral:misc_RNA from 1 species
UUUCCGUAGGUGAACCUGCGGAAGGAUCAUUAACGAGUUAGGGUCUUCUAGGCCCGACCUCCCAACCCUAUGUUUAUUGAACCUCAGUUGCUUCGGCGGACCCGCCUCACGGCCGCCGGAGGACCGCUGCAAGGCGUCCUCUGGCCAGCGUCCGCCGAUGGCCAACCACUUAAACUCUGAAUGAAUCGUGUCAUAUGUCUAAGUCUAUGAUUAAAUUAAAGCAAAACUUUCAACAACGGAUCUCUUGGUUCUGGCAUCGAUGAAAACGCAGC